rnacentral:rRNA from 1 species
ACGAACGCUGGCGGCAUGCCUAACACAUGCAAGUCGAACGGAGCCAUGGUAUGGAUCUCUUCGGAGUGACGUACCGGAAGCUUAGUGGCAGACGGGUGAGUAACACGUGAGCAACCUGCCCUAUAGAGGGGAAUAACACACCGAAAGGUGUGCUAAUACCGCAUAAGUAUGUUUAUCGCAUGGUAGAUAUAUGAAAGAUUUAUCGCUAUAGGAUGGGCUCGCGGCUGAUUAGUUAGUUGGUGGGGUAACGGCCUACCAAGACGACGAUCAGUAGCCGGACUGAGAGGUUGAACGGCCACAUUGGGACUGAGACACGGCCCAGACUCCUACGGGAGGCAGCAGUGGGGGAUAUUGCGCAAUGGGGGAAACCCUGACGCAGCAAUGCCGCGUGAAGGAAGAAGGUCUUCGGAUUGUAAACUUUUGUCUUUGGUGACGAAGAAUGACGGUAGCCAAGGAGGAAGCUCCGGCUAACUACGUGCCAGCAGCCGCGGUAAUACGUAGGGAGCGAGCGUUGUCCGGAUUUACUGGGUGUAAAGGGCGCGUAGGCGGGCCUGCAAGUCAGAUGUGAAAUACCGGGGCUUAACCCCGGGGCUGCAUUUGAAACUGUGGGUCUUGAGUGCGGGAGAGGAAAGCGGAAUUCCUAGUGUAGCGGUGAAAUGCGUAGAUAUUAGGAGGAACACCGGUGGCGAAGGCGGCUUUCUGGACCGUAACUGACGCUGAGGCGCGAAAGUGUGGGGAGCAAACAGGAUUAGAUACCCUGGUAGUCCACACCGUAAACGAUGGAUACUAGGUGUAGGGGGUAUCGACCCCCCCUGUGCCGCAGCUAACGCAAUAAGUAUCCCACCUGGGGAGUACGGCCGCAAGGCUGAAACUCAAAGGAAUUGACGGGGACCCGCACAAGCAGUGGAGUAUGUGGUUUAAUUCGAAGCAACGCGAAGAACCUUACCAGGGCUUGACAUCCCAAGAAUCCUGUAGAGAUACGGGAGUGCCUUCGGGAACUUGGAGACAGGUGGUGCAUGGUUGUCGUCAGCUCGUGUCGUGAGAUGUUGGGUUAAGUCCCGCAACGAGCGCAACCCUUACUGUCAGUUGCCAUCAUUGAGUUGGGCACUCUGGCGGGACUGCCGUUGACAAAACGGAGGAAGGUGGGGACGACGUCAAAUCAUCAUGCCCCUUAUGUCCUGGGCUACACACGUACUACAAUGGUCGGCAACAGAGGGAAGCAAAGCCGUGAGGCAGAGCAAACCCCAGAAACCCGAUCUCAGUUCGGAUUGCAGGCUGCAACUCGCCUGCAUGAAGUCGGAAUCGCUAGUAAUCGCAGGUCAGCAUACUGCGGUGAAUACGUUCCCGGGCCUUGUACACACCGCCCGUCACACCACGAGAGUUGAAAACACCCGAAGCCUGUGAGCUAACCGUAAGGGGGCAGCAGUCGAAGGUGGGUUUGAUGAUUGGGGUG